AGAAGCGGCGGAGGCGGCAUGGAAUGGAAAAAACCGUGUGCGCGAUCGGGUCGAAGAGAUGACUCGAUAUCGAAAUCGCGAAAUACUUCCUGAACGGCGUAACGCGCAAGCUGUUUGUUUCCGUCUCUCCUACCCUGCUCGAGCACCGGUUUCUUCUCUUCUCUCUUUCUAUUCUCGCCUUCUAUUCGGUGGCGAGGGUGGAGGAAGAGAAGCAGCGACGAAUGUUGCGGCGGUGGCAAUAGUAGCGAGCACGGCCGCACGAUGAGGAGGAGGAGGAGGAGGAGGAGUAGUGGAGGGAACACACACGCAGACACACAUAGACACACAUGAACGCACAGAUACACCCGGAGUGGAGGAGAGGGAGAGAAAGGGGGACGGCGGAGGACGCGUAUGACGAGAAGANGGGAGCGAGCGAGGGAGGUUGUGAAAGAGAGAUAGAACCGGGCACGAUUGGCCCCUUCCGCCGUGUCAGCGGUGCCGAUUGGCUCGCGUUCCCCGGAAUCGUGUUAUUUCAAUCGAUAUCUCUUCGAGUAGCCGGCGAUUUUUCGUCGCCGCGCGUUAUCAGCGCCUUUCCACCUUUUUUCUUCCCCCGUUUAGCACACGCACAGCGCGAAAGACCAAGAAAUCGCUCUGUCCCCCCCUUCGACCGGCUUAGUUCGCGAGAGACGCCACACGCUGGCGUACAGCGCUGCGUCCGCGCUUUUACGCUACACGGGCGCGCCAGCUACCCCCGUGGAUCGGGAGAAAAGAGAGAAAGAGAGGAAGAGGGAGAGACGAAACCAGAGAGAGAGAGAGAGAGAGAGAGUAACGACAAUAACAGUAGUAAUUAAAGAAAGAAAAAAAGGAGGAUCGAUAGAGGAUAAUAAAGUAAGAAAGGAGGAAAAGGACGUUGGAGAAGAAGAAGAAAUUGCGCGCGGUCGUGUCGAGUGAUAUUCGUUUCCGAAGUGGGACUCGAUAGGACGCGCUCGUUCGUCCUUCGUACGCGACGAUCCCUCCUCCUCUUUGUCCGAUCUCUCUAACCGCCGAUUCUUCCUCGUCGUCGUCGUCGUCGUCGUCGCCGUCGCCGCCGCCGCCGUUUCGUUUCGCUUUAUUUCGAGGGGGGAGUUAUCGUGUGGUAACACAGUGAUUCAAGCCGGAGAAGCGUUCCCACAUGUUCGUACGUGAAAAACAAGGAAUGCAUACACGCCAAAGAUGUACCUGCGAAUGAUAUCGAAUCAUCGUUCCGUCCGUUCGAAUCCGUUCCCAACCAGAUCGUUCAAAUCGUAUCGGAUAUAAUAAAAAGGGAGAAGUUUGUUUGGAGACAGAGGAAAGAAGUGACAGAGAAAUAUCGAAUCGUCGUUUCGUAUUGAAG